AGGGGGGGGUGCUAUACAUGCAAGUCGAGCGCGGGAAGCGAGUGGAUCCCUUCGGGGUGAAGCUCGUGGAACGAGCGGCGGACGGGUGAGUAACACGUGGGCAACCUGCCUGUAAGAUCGGAAUAACCCCGGGAAACCGGGGCUAAUGCCGGGUAAUACUUUCUUUCGCAUGAAGGAAAGUUGAAAGAUGGCUUCUCGCUAUCACUUACAGAUGGGCCCGCGGCGCAUUAGCUAGUUGGUGAGGUAACGGCUCACCAAGGCGACGAUGCGUAGCCGACCUGAGAGGGUGAUCGGCCACACUGGGACUGAGACACGGCCCAGACUCCUACGGGAGGCAGCAGUAGGGAAUCUUCCGCAAUGGACGAAAGUCUGACGGAGCAACGCCGCGUGAACGAUGAAGGUCUUCGGAUCGUAAAGUUCUGUUGUUAGGGAAGAACAAGUACCGUGCGAAUAGAGCGGUACCUUGACGGUACCUAACGAGGAAGCCCCGGCUAACUACGUGCCAGCAGCCGCGGUAAUACGUAGGGGGCAAGCGUUGUCCGGAAUUAUUGGGCGUAAAGCGCGCGCAGGCGGUUCCUUAAGUCUGAUGUGAAAGCCCACGGCUCAACCGUGGAGGGUCAUUGGAAACUGGGGAACUUGAGGACAGAAGAGGAGAGUGGAAUUCCACGUGUAGCGGUGAAAUGCGUAGAUAUGUGGAGGAACACCAGUGGCGAAGGCGACUCUCUGGUCUGUUUCUGACGCUGAGGUGCGAAAGCGUGGGUAGCAAACAGGAUUAGAUACCCUGGUAGUCCACGCCGUAA
rnacentral:rRNA from 1 species